CUGCGUUCACUUGAAAGGAAAGGUGUAGGCAGAUCCAUCUCUGGCAGAUCCAUCUCUGGUUCACAGUGUACCAUCACAUAAAUUGGAGCAUUGAAAUGAAUGUGCUGUGGAGGAAGACUCUGUGGAGCAGAAAAGUGCAAUAGUCUGCUGGUGCAAUGCCAUAUUCCCUAAUUGUAUUAUCCCUCAGGACUUGAAGCAAAGAAAACUUAUCCAGCUACAGCUCUGUGAAGGAAGCUUAGAAAACGCACAGACGCUG
rnacentral:lncRNA from 1 species